UGGCGAAGGUCCCAGCAGGGAGGGUAAAACAAACUCUAUCAGAGACCUCUCUAACACAAUAUAAUACCUUCGUAGAUUUUAUUGCCGAUUCGUAGGACUCGUUAAUCUUUCUUUCGAUUUUUAACGAGUCUUUUAUAAUUGGCUACAUUUUU